GAUGAACGCUGGCGGCGUGCCUAAUACAUGCAAGUCGAGCGAACAGAUAAGGAGCUUGCUCCUUUGACGUUAGCGGCGGACGGGUGAGUAACACGUGGGUAACCUACCUAUAAGACUGGAAUAACUCCGGGAAACCGGGGCUAAUGCCGGAUAACAUUUAGAACCGCAUGGUUCUAAAGUGAAAGAUGGUUUUGCUAUCACUUAUAGAUGGACCCGCGCCGUAUUAGCUAGUUGGUAAGGUAACGGCUUACCAAGGCAACGAUACGUAGCCGACCUGAGAGGGUGAUCGGCCACACUGGAACUGAGACACGGUCCAGGCUCCUACGGGAGGCAGCAGUAGGGAAUCUUCCGCAAUGGGCGAAAGCCUGACAGAGCAACGCCGCGUGAGUGAUGAAGGUCUUCGGAUCGUAAAACUCUGUUAUUAGGGAAGAACAAAUGUGUAAGUAACUGUGCACGUCUUGACGGUACCUAAUCAGAAAGCCACGGCUAACUACGUG
rnacentral:rRNA from 1 species